UUUCAAAGUAACUGGAGAACUGGCUUUGUGGUUAUCUGGAUGGGUGUCUUCUUCUCCUUAUUCUCAAUGUAGAUGCUGGCCCCGUGUUCCACCAGUAACUUCACUGCUUCCACACACUCCUCAUUGCACACCAGAUGGCUGGUGAAAGAUGCAUGGAUGACUUUAAAUAUGACAGCACUUUUCAUUUUUAUAUUUUCAGUGUUGUAAACACCACAACACUGCAUUCACCUCUGUUGUAUUAAGGUGAUGGUAGAAAUCUCUGAGACUGAUACCUCAAAUAAAACCAAAUCUAUCUGGCUGGCUGAACACCACUACAAGUAAGUGAAAAAAACAUGAUGUUUCUUUACAUGUACUGAUCCAUUAAGGGUUUGUGUUUGUUCAUUUCAGCUGACAACAUUCUACUCCAACUGAAUUACAAAGGUACGUGAAAUGACUCAGUUUCUAUCUAACUUAGAUCAUAAGAUAUCUAACGUUUAUCACUACAGAAAAUAUUAUAGAAGCAAAUACUUACAGUAUGACAGCAUGGCGGAUUUAUCAAGGAAACGUUAAUUAAACUGUUAGAAUGGUUGAAAUGUAGGUGCUGUAUUUCUGCAGUUUUUAACAACUGUUAUUUAUUUUCUGCUUUGUUGUCUAGUCUGAAGACUGUGUUGAACGCCCAGAGUACAGGUGGAAAGACGUUUCCAGCGAGGCCGAGCCUGCAGUGGCUCUGUCCUUUCCUGUAGUGUUUGCUAGAGAGACAUGGGGCUGUUUGAGGCCCUGCUGUGACGCUUCAUGGCAGGGUUAUAGGUAAACCUCAGACAUUUGUCAUCUUGGGUUUAAGCCAGUCAAAAUUCUCGUUGCACUACUCUUGUGUCACUUGGUAGCUUCUUGACUGAACACUGUUUUGCUUCACAGGAAACGUCCAGAUGGUCUUAAUGAAACCAGUUCCCCAGUAAUUGUGUGGACCAGUGCUGGGGCUCAUCACUGACCCAAAGCUUCAGGUUUCACCAAUACAAGAAGACUGAGGUGCAGAUCUUGAGAGGUGGAGAACCAGUUCGUCUGCUGCAGAAACAUCUGUGUUGAAAGUGUUUUAAUCAUCUCCCAGUGUUAUCAAGUACUUUUUGCACUGCCCUUGUUAACUAUCGUGUUAAAUGCAGGUUCCUAUAAAGACAUGGUGACAUGCUUUUAUACUCUGCCAUGUAAAGCAGCAAAAUAGUCAUGUUUUACUUUGGAGGUGAGAAGUGUUGAUGCAGAAAAGUGAGGAAACCACAAGAGGGCAACAGAAAAGUACUAGAAAACUGCAUUUCCAGUCGAAAACGCGUGUGUGGAUGCAAAUUGC